AGGUUGAAGGUUGGGUAACACUAACUGGAGGACCGAACCGACUAAUGUUGAAAAAUUAGCGGAUGACCUGUGGCUGGGGGUGAAAGGCCAAUCAAACCGGGAGAUAGCUGGUUCUCCCCGAAAGCUAUUUAGGUAGCGCCUCGUGAAUUCAUCUCCGGGGGUAGAGCACUGUUUCGGCUAGGGGGCCAUCCCGGCUUACCAACCCGAUGCAAACUGCGAAUACCGGAGAAUGUUAUCACGGGAGACACACGGCGGGUGCUAACGUCCGUCGUGAAGAGGGAAACAACCCAGACCGCCAGCUAAGGUCCCAAAGUCAUGGUUAAGUGGGAAACGAUGUGGGAAGGCCCAGACAGCCAGGAUGUUGGCUUAGAAGCAGCCAUCAUUUAAAGAAAGCGUAAUAGCUCACUGGUCGAGUCGGCCUGCGCGGAAGAUGUAACGGGGCUAAACCAUGCACCGAAGCUGCGGCAGCGAACGUAUCACCCAAGACAACUUUACGGAGUUGACGAUUGACGGAGCGAAGCGACGUCAAAGCGUUCAUUAAAGUCGAGUUGGCUUAGGGAUACGUUCGUUGGGUAGGGGAGCGUUCUGUAAGCCUGUGAAGGUGUGUCGUGAGGCAUGCUGGAGGUAUCAGAAGUGCGAAUGCUGACAUAAGUAACGAUAAAGCGGGUGAAAAGCCCGCUCGCCGGAAGACCAAGGGUUCCUGUCCAACGUUAAUCGGGGCAGGGUGAGUCGACCCCUAAGGCGAGGCCGAAAGGCGUAGUCGAUGGGAAACGGGUUAAUAUUCCCGUACUUGGUGUUACUGCGAAGGGGGGACGGAGAAGGCUAUGUUGGCCGGGCGACGGUUGUCCCGGUUUAAGCGUGUAGGUGUGUGUUCCAGGUAAAUCCGGUUCACUUUAACACUGAGGCGUGACGACGAGGCACUACGGUGCUGAAGCAACAAAUGCCCUGCUUCCAGGAAAAGCCUCUAAGCAUCAGGUAACAUCAAAUCGUACCCCAAACCGACACAGGUGGUCAGGUAGAGAAUACCAAGGCGCUUGAGAGAACUCGGGUGAAGGAACUAGGCAAAAUGGUGCCGUAACUUCGGGAGAAGGCACGCUGACACGUAGGUGAAGUGAUUUACUCAUGGAGCUGAAGUCAGUCGAAGAUACCAGCUGGCUGCAACUGUUUAUUAAAAACACAGCACUGUGCAAACACGAAAGUGGACGUAUACGGUGUGACGCCUGCCCGGUGCCGGAAGGUUAAUUGAUGGGGUCAGCGCAAGCGAAGCUCCUGAUCGAAGCCCCGGUAAACGGCGGCCGUAACUAUAACGGUCCUAAGGUAGCGAAAUUCCUUGUCGGGUAAGUUCCGACCUGCACGAAUGGCGUAAUGAUGGCCAGGCUGUCUCCACCCGAGACUCAGUGAAAUUGAACUCGCUGUGAAGAUGCAGUGUACCCGCGGCAAGACGGAAAGACCCCGUGAACCUUUACUAUAGCUUGACACUGAACAUUGAGCCUUGAUGUGUAGGAUAGGUGGGAGGCUUUGAAGUGUGGACGCCAGUCUGCAUGGAGCCGACCUUGAAAUACCACCCUUUAAUGUUUGAUGUUCUAACGUGGACCCGUAAUCCGGGUUGCGGACAGUGUCUGGUGGGUAGUUUGACUGGGGCGGUCUCCUCCUAAAGAGUAACGGAGGAGCACGAAGGUUGGCUAAUCCUGGUCGGACAUCAGGAGGUUAGUGCAAUGGCAUAAGCCAGCUUGACUGCGAGCGUGACGGCGCGAGCAGGUGCGAAAGCAGGUCAUAGUGAUCCGGUGGUUCUGAAUGGAAGGGCCAUCGCUCAACGGAUAAAAGGUACUCCGGGGAUAACAGGCUGAUACCGCCCAAGAGUUCAUAUCGACGGCGGUGUUUGGCACCUCGAUGUCGGCUCAUCACAUCCUGGGGCUGAAGUAGGUCCCAAGGGUAUGGCUGUUCGCCAUUUAAAGUGGUACGCGAGCUGGGUUUAGAACGUCGUGAGACAGUUCGGUCCCUAUCUGCCGUGGGCGCUGGAGAACUGAGGGGGGCUGCUCCUAGUACGAGAGGACCGGAGUGGACGCAUCACUGGUGUUCGGGUUGUCAUGCCAAUGGCACUGCCCGGUAGCUAAAUGCGGAAGAGAUAAGUGCUGAAAGCAUCUAAGCACGAAACUUGCCCCGAGAUGAGUUCUCCCUGAGACUUAGAGUCUCCUGAAGGAACGUUG
rnacentral:rRNA from 1 species